rnacentral:rRNA from 1 species
CACACCGCCCGUCACGUCAUGAAAGUUGGAGACGCCUGAAGUCGGUCAGCGAACCCGCAAGGGACGCAGCCGCCGAGGGUGGGGCCAGCGAGUUGGGAACGAA